AUACGGAGGGUGCAAGCGUUAAUCGGAAUUACUGGGCGUAAAGAGUACGUAGGUGGUUUAUUAAGUCAGAUGUGAAAGCCCCGGGCUCAACCUGGGAACUGCAUUUGAAACUAGUAGACUAGAGUAUGGUAGAGGGGGGUAGAAUUUCUAGUGUAGCGGUGAAAUGCGUAGAUAUUAGAAGGAAUACCAGUGGCGAAGGCGGCCCCCUGGACCAAUACUGACACUGAGGUACGAAAGCGUGGGUAGCGAACAGGAUUAGAUACCCCAGUAGUCC
rnacentral:rRNA from 1 species